rnacentral:rRNA from 1 species
UACGAAGGGGGCUAGCGUUGCUCGGAAUUACUGGGCGUAAAGGGCGCGUAGGCGGCUCUGUUAGUCAGGCGUGAAAUUCCUGGGCUCAACCUGGGGACUGCGCUUGAUACGGCGGGGCUUGAGGAUGGAAGAGGCUCGUGGAAUUCCCAGUGUAGAGGUGAAAUGCGUAGAUAUCUGCAGGAACACCCGUGGCGAAAGCGGCGCGCUGGACCACUACUGACGCUGAGGAACGAAAGCUAGGGGAGCAAACAGG